UGCAGUCGACGCGUCUCCGUUGAUGAUUUUAGGUGCUUGCACUUGAAAGAUUUAACAUUGAGACGAGUGGCGAACUGGUGAGUAACACGUGGGUAACCUGCCCUUGAAGUAGGGGAUAACACUUGGAAACAGGUGCUAAUACCGUAUAACAACCAAAACCACCUGGUUUUGGUUUAAAAGACGGCUUCGGCUGUCACUUUAGGAUGGACCCGCGGCGUAUUAGCUUGUUGGUAAGGUAACGGCCUACCAAGGCGAUGAUACGUAGCCGACCUGAGAGGGUAAUCGGCCACAUUGGGACUGAGACACGGCCCAAACUCCUACGGGAGGCAGCAGUAGGGAAUCUUCCACAAUGGACGAAAGUCUGAUGGAGCAACGCCGCGUGAGUGAUGAAGGGUUUCGGCUCGUAAAACUCUGUUGUUGGAGAAGAACAGGUGUCAGAGUAACUGUUGACAUCUUGACGGUAUCCAACCAGAAAGCCACGGCUAACUACGUGCCAGCAGCCGCGGUAAUACGUAGGUGGCAAGCGUUGUCCGGAUUUAUUGGGCGUAAAGCGAGCGCAGGCGGUUUUUUAGGUCUGAUGUGAAAGCCUUCGGCUUAACCGGAGAAGUGCAUCGGAAACCGGGAGGCUUGAGUGCAGAAGAGGACAGUGGAACUCCAUGUGUAGCGGUGAAAUGCGUAGAUAUAUGGAAGAACACCAGUGGCGAAUGCGGCUGUCUGGUCUGUAACUGACGCUGAGCUCGAAAGCAUGGGUAGCGAACAGGAUUAGAUACCCUG
rnacentral:rRNA from 2 species